rnacentral:lncRNA from 1 species
AAUGCCACUGUGAACCCGGAAUGCAAAGAGAACACGUCUGCUGGUGCACAAACACUGGACAGACAGCUCCAACCUCUGUUUCCUUCCAACACUGUCACUGAACUUGCACUUACAGGAAAGAAUCGUGGAGGUUGUGCAAUGACAGGGCACUUCAGAGGUUUGCCAACCUCUUCUCUGCAAGCAUCAGAGUGAGGGAGGGAGCAACUUUGCCCACUGGGAAUGGAGCCUUGAGCUCCCCCAAGUGCCUCAGUGUUCCAUUAGUGUGCCAUUCCUGGCCCAGGGUGGCCUUGUGAGGGGCUGGGGCUCUUGUCCAUGCCCACAUUGUGAUGUUGCAGUCUCUGUGCUCUGAGAACAUCAGUGCUGUGCUCAAGGUCACCAACAGCAACAGGAGACUAGCAGUAAGGGUCCAGCUUUCCAGGAAGGCAGUUGGCAUCAAAGUUUUGCACAUCUCACACUCAGAUUUUUAAUUUUUCCUUUCCUGCUAUGAUGUGUGAUAAUGGAUAGGAUUCAGGCUCUGAGCCAGGUGCCCUUGCAGUCAGGGGGUCAUCUUUCCCACCUCGAACUCUGCUCCUGGCUGGACCCACAGCAGUGGUCCACUGAUCGCAAGAACCUCUGCGCAAAUGUGGCCCUAGGUGAGAGGAAGGCUGGACCUUGGCCCAAACCUGGGUCCCUCAGCUGGGGCCGGCUCUCUGGCAGAUCACAGGUGGACACCCAUUGGGCUCUUGCUGCUCGGGGUCCCCUGCGCUGUGGGACAGUAGCGUCGCCCUGGGGGCAAGGAUGAGCAUCCUGUCUGAGCAAAAAGGCCCUCGUCUGGUUGCAGAGCGCUGUGGACUGAAUGGCACCCAAGCAUUUGCCUGAAAAUGGUUAAUUUCAUGUUGUGGGGAUUUCAUCUCAAUAAAAAUAAUGACGACUCGUCA